AUGGUAGGAUAGAGGCCUACCAUGGUGGUAACGGGUAACGGGGUGUUAGGGCACGACACCGGAGAGGGAGCCUGAGAAACGGCUACCACAUCCAAGGAAGGCAGCAGGCGCGCAAAUUACCCAAUCCCGACACGGGGAGGUAGUGACAAUAAAUAACAAUACGGGGUUCUUUGAAUCUUGUAAUUGGAAUGAGUACAAUUUAAAUCUCUUAACGAGGAACAAUUGGAGGGCAAGUCUGGUGCCAGCAGCCGCGGUAACUCCAGCUCCAAUAGCGUAUAUUAAAGUUGUUGCAGUUAAAAAGCUCGUAGUUGAAUUUCGGGAUCAAUACGUCGGUCGUGCUUUCGGGUACGUACUGGCGUCAUUGGUUUCUCCUUUCUGACGAACCAUGAUGUCAUUAAUUUGGUGUUAUGGGGAGUUAGGACCGUUACUUUGAAAAAAUUAGAGUGUUUAAAGCAGGCAUUAGCUUGAAUACAUUAGCAUGGAAUAAUGAAAUAGGACGUUCGAUCCUAUUUUGUUGGUUUCUAGGAUCAACGUAAUGAUUAAUAGGGAUAGUUGGGGGCAUUAGUAUUCAAUUGUCAGAGGUGAAAUUCUUGGAUUUAUUGAAGACUAACUACUGCGAAAGCAUUUGCCAAGGAUGUUUUCAUUAAUCAAGAACGAAAGUUAGGGGAUCGAAGACGAUCAGAUACCGUCGUAGUCUUAACCAUAAACUAUGCCGACUAGGGAUCGGAUGAUGUUAAUUUUUUAAUGACUCAUUCGGCGCCUUACGGGAAACCAAAGUGUUUGGG
rnacentral:rRNA from 1 species